rnacentral:rRNA from 1 species
AGAUGGCGACCGGCGCACGGGUGAGUAACACGUAUCCAACCUGCCGAUAACUCGGGGAUAGCCUUUCGAAAGAAAGAUUAAUACCCGAUGGUAUAAUUAGACCGCAUGGUCUUGUUAUUAAAGAAUUUCGGUUAUCGAUGGGGAUGCGUUCCAUUAGGCAGUUGGUGAGGUAACGGCUCACCAAACCUUCGAUGGAUAGGGGUUCUGAGAGGAGGGUCCCCCACAUUGGAACUGAGACACGGUCCAA